rnacentral:sRNA from 1 species
AGAGAGGUCGGAGGUAAGUGGCUGUAGAAGUCGGGCGGACCCGGAACCCAGAGGACGCGACACCAUGACUUAUGCUUAUCUCUUCAAGUAUAUCAUCAUCGGAGACACAGGUGUGGGGAAGUCAUGCCUCCUGCUCCAGUUUACAGAUAAGCGGUUCCAGCCUGUCCACGACCUCACAAUAGGUAAGUGCAUCUACUUGUUCCAGAACAGAUGAUAAAACCUGACUAGUUAAAUUGCUAAAGUGGAAAGUUAGCAGCCUUCAGUGUUCGAAGUAAAAAGUUACCCCUCACUACUUUAAACUAGUCCAAACUUAUGUUAAUGAAGUGACCAAUGAAACGUUGAUAUGUGGGGAGUAGUGUAUAUAAUUAAAAGGUAACUUUUUAGAGUGUGAGGUAUAGACUCGUCAUAUAAUUUUUUUUCAAAUACAAUUUGU